UACGUAGGGUGCAAGCGUUAUCCGGAAUUAUUGGGCGUAAAGAGCUCGUAGGCGGUUUGUCGCGUCUGCUGUGAAAACUGGAGGCUCAACCUCCAGCCUGCAGUGGGUACGGGUAGACUAGAGUGCGGUAGGGGAGAUUGGAAUUCCUGGUGUAGCGGUGGAAUGCGCAGAUAUCAGGAGGAACACCGAUGGCGAAGGCAGAUCUCUGGGCCGUAACUGACGCUGAGGAGCGAAAGCGUGGGGAGCGAACAGG
rnacentral:rRNA from 1 species